rnacentral:rRNA from 1 species
AUUGAACGCUGGCGGCAUGCCUUACACAUGCAAGUCGAACGGCAGCACGGGGGCAACCCUGGUGGCGAGUGGCGAACGGGUGAGUAAUGCAUCGGAACGUGUCCUCUUGUGGGGGAUAACCAGUCGAAAGAUUGGCUAAUACCGCAUGAGAUCGCAAGAUGAAAGCGGGGGACCGCAAGGCCUCGCGCGAGAGGAGCGGCCGAUGCCGGAUUAGCUAGUUGGUGGGGUAACGGCCUACCAAGGCGACGAUCCGUAGCUGGUCUGAGAGGACGACCAGCCACACGGGGACUGAGACACGGCCCAGACUCCUACGGGAGGCAGCAGUGGGGAAUUUUGGACAAUGGGCGCAAGCCUGAUCCAGCCAUGCCGCGUGUGUGAAGAAGGCCUUCGGGUUGUAAAGCACUUUCGGACGGAACGAAAUCGCGCGGACGAACAUUCCGCGUGGAUGACGGUACCGUAAGAAGAAGCACCGGCUAACUACGUGCCAGCCGCCGCGGUAA